GGCUGGGUAGCUCAGUUGGUUAGAGCGUGGGACUCAUAAGCCCAAGGUCGUGGGUUCGACCCCCACCCCAGCCACCA
rnacentral:tRNA from 5 species